rnacentral:rRNA from 1 species
UACGUAGGCAGCGAGCGUUGUUCGGAGUUACUGGGCGUAAAGAGUGCGUAGGCGGUUUCGUAAGUCUGGUGUGAAAUCUCCCGGCUCAACUGGGAGGGUGCGCCGGAAACUGCGGAGCUGGAGUGUGGGAGAGGCAAGCGGAAUUCCUGGUGUAGCGGUGAAAUGCGUAGAUAUCAGGAGGAACACCUGCGGUGUAGACGGCUUGCUGGACCACUACUGACGCUGAGGCACGAAAGCGUGGGGAGCAAACAGG